rnacentral:rRNA from 1 species
UGAAACAAGGGGAAGACUCACAUAGAGGCAGCAGUAGAGAAUCUUGUGCAAUAAACGAAAGUAUGACACAGAGAGGACACAUUUAAUUGAGCCCGUCAAAUUAAGUGCCAGCCGACGCGGUUAAACUUAAGGGCUGGUCUUUAUAAGUAAAAAGGCGUAAAGGAUGUGUAGGCUAAGAAACGAUCCAAGUAGGUAAAUGGAAUUUUUCUGGAGCGGUAGAAUGUGAGGAUAGAAAAUAGAACCCCUAAGGUAAAAACUAUUUACUACAAGGCAGGCUGAAACAUGAGAGUGUGGGGAGCAAACAGGAUUAGAGACCCUGGUAGUCCACACUGUGAACUUUGAAGAUGAUGCUUAGCAGACCCGAAAGGUAAAAUCUUCCGCCUGAGUAGUACGAUCGCAAGAUUAAAAUUCAAAAACUUUGGCUGUUCACUAUUUCGAUUAGAGGAGCGUGUAGUUUAAUUCGAUGGUCCGCGUGUUACCUUACCCCAACUUGAAUCUGUGACCGGUAUUGCAUGGCCGUCGUAAGUUCGUGUAUUAAGCUAGAAGGGACCCAACCCGGGCAUUUGCCCGGAGGAAGUCAGGUCUUAUGAUCCGAAUGUUGGGGGAUUUUAUGCGCUACAUUUUCUUAUAUAAUGAGAAACCUGGAAGGUGAGUCUCUAAAGUAAGAGUUCGGAAGGUCGCUGUAAGACGACUGGAAGUUGGAUUUAAUAGUAAUCGGAAAGUAGGGCGUUCCGGUGAAUUGGUACAAGUGUUAGCACAAAUUGCCCGUCACCUUUACUUAGAAUGGUUAUUCGGACGUCUUCGGUGAUUACGAAUGCCUACGAGGUAAAGCAAGUCGUAACAU